UUGAUAAGAGGCCAUCUGAACGUGGAAUCAGAAUAAACAAAAUCCUUUUGCUUCCCCACUACAUACGAGUUUUAAGUGAUCUGCUGACUCAUGAUAAAUAUUGGGUAGUAAGGCUUAUAAAUAAACGAUGAUAUGGUUAAUAACUAAUGUUUCCCUUUGAAGUUACCACAUAAAUACAAACGAGCGAAACCUGACCAUGGAUUCCACUUAAUACAACUGAAAGAAACAGAUGCCUCGACCGAUCGUACUAAUGAUGACUAGUUGCCAUAUUGAGAAAACAGAACGUGAAUGAUUAUGAUGACGACGAGGACGAAAACGACGACGACGACGACGAUGAUGAUGAUGAUGAUGAUGAUGAUGACGAUGAUGAUGAUGAUGAUGACAACGCCGAGUACCACAAAGGUGACAAUGAUGGCGAUGACGACGACGAUGAUAAUGACCACGUUGACUACGACGAUGACGACGACGGUUACGAUGAUGAUGAUGAUGACGAUGAUGACGAUGAUGAUGAAGAUGACGAUGAUGACGAUGACAAUGACGAGCAUCACAUCGACAACGACGGCGAUAAUUAUGAUGACGACGACGACGACCAUGGGUGAUAGAAACACCACCUCAAACAAGUUUAGUGAUUAAAGUAAGAUCGUUAUAUGUAUUAGAUGGAUUCUGCUUCAAGUGUAAAUUCUUUUGUCGUGAAUUAUAUGAAAUAUCGAUCAUCAUAUCCAAUUGUAAAAUAAAAUUAAUUCUAAUUCUUA